UCUGAGGAGAAUUGACAACUGAAUCCGAAGUUAUCUUAAAAAUAUCUUUGCUACAGGAUUCAGUAUGAGAAACAAUCUGGUGCGAUGCAGCAGACUGUGGUAUGGAUAAGUUAUUAAGUCCGUCCUUUUCCUCAAAAUUCUCUACCACACCUAUGAUUUUGUUACAUUGUCCUAUUGAUGAUAGGAAAGAUCUUUCGACCUUAUCAGGAUGAUCAGAAGGCAGAUGAGUAUUCUCACUGAUGAUGGGGUUUCUAGCUGACUCUUUCAGUAUGUGGUCAUUGUUGCUUUGGCAAACAUCUGAAUUCCAUUGUAAAGGAUUUUUCACCUGUUCAUUGUUCCCUACAAAACAGCCAAUCUCCUGGUCGAAACUCCUAUUAUUCUUUUCACCCAAGGUGGGGUUUCUGGCUGACUCUUUCAGUACAUUGCCUUUAUUGCUUUGGCAAACUUCUAAAUUCUGUUGUAAAGGAUUCUUCACCUGUUCAUUGCUCUCAGCAGAGCAGCCAAUUUCCCGGUGGAAACUCCUGUGAUUCUUACUUUGUAUGUUAUCAGGUAGAGAAAUUUCACUUGUCAAUUUCUUAAUCCAGUCUGAUGGGUUAAAAUUUAAAUCAACACAAAGGUUAAUUCCAUUUUCUGAACUAACAUAAAACUCAAAUUCAGGCAGCCGAGUAGCUCUAGAAGGUCUCAAGGGCACACUCUCUUUAGGACAUCCACCAUCAUUUAUGUCUGUAUCAACAGUACGGGGCUUUUCUUCUAACUUACAAUCUCUUCCAAUACCCAAAUUGUUCUCUCCGGAGGUGAGUGUUGGGUUCUCCUUGUCGUUGAGAUUAACUCCGUCAGAUUGAGGAACAAGCAGAGGUUGCAUUGGUCCACAAAUUGUUUCCUGUAUUGACAUUGAAACUUUUUUAUGAGCUUUGUGGUCUGAAUGCAGAACAGAGAUAAAUGGACAUAAGCAAAAGCAAACCUUGUCAUAAGCUGUCUCCCCCAUGCUGUGGAAUUUCUUAGUUGGAGAACAACUCCGUCCAAUAUGCUCAUCUGCGGUAGAAGAGAUGGAUCCAUAGCAAGCAGCAAAAGCAUACAAUCAUUGUCCGCGAAUUUCUUAGAUCAUGAAUAGGGUUAAGACGCACUUCAGACUUUUGGAAACUUUAAUUGAUAAU
rnacentral:lncRNA from 1 species